rnacentral:rRNA from 1 species
CCGUGAGGUGUCGGCUUAAGUGCCUAUAACGAGCGCAACCCCCGCGUGCAGUUGUUAAGGGGUGACGCUGAGGACUCUGCACGGACUGCCGGCGCAAGCCGCGAGGAAGGCGGGGAUGACGUCAAAUCAGCACGGCCCUUACGUCCGGGGCGACACACGUGUUACAAUGGGUGGUACAGCGGGAAGCCAGGCGGCGACGCCGAGCGGAACCCGAAAUCCACUCUCAGUUCGGAUCGGAGUCUGCAACCCGACUCCGUGAAGCUGGAUUCGCUAGUAAUCGCGCAUCAGCCAUGGCGCGGUGAAUACGUUCCCGGGCCUUGUACACACCGCCCGUCAAGCCAUGGGAGCCGAGGGCGCUUGAAGUGCGUCGCCGCGAGGCGCGCCCUAGAGCGAAAUCGGUGACUGGGGCUAAGUCGUAACAAGGUAGCCGU